CCUACGGGGGGCAGCAGUGGGGAAUAUUGCGCAAUGGGCGAAAGCCUGACGCAGCGACGCCGCGUGAGGGAUGAAGGUCUUCGGAUCGUAAACCUCUGUCAGCAGGGAAGAACGGUCACUGUGCUAAUCAGCAGUGAAUUGACGGUACCUGCAAAGGAAGCACCGGCUAACUCCGUGCCAGCAGCCGCGGUAAUACGGAGGGUGCGAGCGUUAAUCGGAAUUACUGGGCGUAAAGCGCUCGUAGGCGGUAUGUCAAGUCAAGGGUGAAAUCCCCGCGCUCAACGUGGGAACUGCCUUUGAAACUGGCAAACUGGAGUGUGUGAGAGGAAAGUGGAAUUCCAGGUGUAGGGGUGAAAUGCGUAGAUAUCUGGAAGAACAUCAGUGGCGAAGGCGACUAUCUGGCACGUAACUGACGCUGAGGGGCGAAAGCGUGGGUAGCAAACAGGAUUAGAUACCCGGGUAGUC
rnacentral:rRNA from 1 species